UACGGAGGGUGCAAGCGUUAUCCGGAUUCACUGGGGUUAAAGGGUGCGUAGGUGGGUCUGUAAGUCAGUGGUGAAAUCUCCGUGCUUAACAUGGAAACUGCCAUUGAUACUAUAGGUCUUGAAUUAUCUGGAGGUUAGCGGAAUAUGUCAUGUAGCGGUGAAAUGCUUAGAUAUGACAUAGAACACCAAUUGCGAAGGCAGCUGGCUACAGGUAUAUUGACACUGAGGCACGAAAGCGUGGGGAUCAAACAGG
rnacentral:rRNA from 1 species